rnacentral:rRNA from 1 species
UAAACUAGGAUUAGAUACCCUAUUAUUUUAAAUGUAGAAAAUUUAUAAUUACUAAAUUAGUAUAAGUUAUGUUCUUUAAAAUUAAAAAAUUUGGCGGUAUUUUAGUCUUUUCAGAGGAAUCUGUCCUGUAAUUGAUAGUCCACGAUUAAAUUUACUUUAUUUAUUAGUUUACAUAUCGUCGUAGUUUGAAUAUUUUAAUAGAAGAUAAAUAUUCAAGAUUUUACAUUAAAAAGUAGAUCAGAUCAAGGUGUAGUUUAUAAUAAAGAAGAGAUGGAUUACAAUAAAUAUAUUUUAGGAUAAUUUAUUGAAUAAUAGAUUUGAAUUUGGAUUUGAAAGUAAUUUUAAAUAUUUUUUUAAUAUGAUUAGAGCUCUAAAAUAUGCACACAUCGCCCGUCGCUCUUAA